AAUUAUAAAUGUCAUUGUUUCCUCUGUCAUAGCUUAUGUGUCAAGAUUCAUCAAGAGACGUAUAUUUCAAAAUAAUUAUUUUUAAAAAUGAAUCAAUUAUUUAAAAUAUUAAUUGCGGUGAUGUCGUGUUGUUUUUUGUUUGAAACUUUUGUGACAGCUUUUCGGAUACAACGAAUCAUGAACGAUGAUGAGAAUCGCAGCGAUCCUAGAACAUACCCACCAAUUAUAGAAUAUGAUCCAAAACCAAAUUACGUUCCCUUUUUGGAAAGCAGUAAAUUAUUGCGUAUUUACCGCACCAAUAUAACAACAUAGUUACCUAAUUAUUGUUAUAGUAACUAUCGUGAAAAUUAUUAGUUUUUAAAUAAUGCAACGGUUAUUGACGCGUAUCUAUAGGGAUCGCCCGACUAGUUUCGGCCUCAACCGGAGUCCUUAAUCAUGAGCUGACGCGGCAGGAUUGAUAAAUACGCGUGAGUAAACCGUUGCAUCAUUAAUAACAUACGCAGUUAAAAAAUAAAGGAAAGCAGCCGUUUAUAAAGACGUA